rnacentral:rRNA from 1 species
AUACGUAGGGGGCGAGCGUUGUCCGGAAUGACUGGGCGUAAAGGGCGUGUAGGCGGCGGUGUAAGUCUGGAGUGAAAGUCCCGCAUUCAAUGUGGGAAUUGCUUUGGAUACUGCAGUGCUAGAGUGCGGAAGAGGUAAGUGGAAUUCCCAGUGUAGCGGUGAAAUGCGUAGAGAUUGGGAGGAACACCAGUGGCGAAGGCGGGUAACUGGACUGCAACUGACGCUGAGGCGCGAAAGUGUGGGGAGCAAACAGGAUUAGAUACCCUGGUAGUCCACACUGUAAAUGAUGAAUGCUAGGUGUAGGGGGUAUCGACCCCUUCUGUGCCGCAGUCAACACAAUAAGCAUUCCGCCUGGGGAGUACGGCCGCAAGGUUGAAACUCAAAUGAAUUGGCGGG